rnacentral:rRNA from 1 species
CGCUGGCGGCGUGCUUGAUACAUGCUUUCCAAACGGAAAGUGUAGCAAUAUACUUUUAGUGGCGAACGGGUGAGUAACGCGUUGGUGACCUGCCCCGAAGCGAGGGAUAACAGUUCGAAAGAACUGCUAAUACCUCAUGUGAUCACCGGUUUUAGAAUCUGGUGAUUAAAGGUGAAAAUCACUUCGGGAGGGGCCUGCGUCCCAUCAGCUAGUUGGUAAGGUAAUGGCUUACCAAGGCGAUGACGGGUAGGGGACCUGAGAGGGUGGCCCCCCACAAUGGAACUGAAACACGGUCCAUACACCUACGGGUGGCAGCAGUAGGGAAUAUUGCAAAUGGGCGAAAGCCUGAUGUAGCAACGCCGCGUGUGCGAUGAAGGUCUUCGGAUUGUAAAGCACUUUUUGGAGGGAUGAGGAAGGACAGUACCUCCAGAAUAAGCCUCGGCUAACUACGUGCCAGCAGCCGCGGUAACACGUAGGAGGCAAGCGUUAUUCGGAUUUACUGGGCGUAAAGCGCGUGCAGGCGGUUUGGAAAGUUGGAUGUGAAAGCUCCUGGCUCAACUGGGAGAGGUCGUUCAAAACUUCCAGACUUGAGAGUGGUAGAGGGAGGUGGAAUUCCGGGUGUAGUGGUGAAAUGCGUAGAUAUCCGGAGGAACACCAGUGGCGAAAGCGGCCUCCUGGACCACUUCUGACGCUCAGACGCGAAAGCUAGGGUAGCAACGGGAUUAGAGACCCCGGUAGUCUAGCUGUAACGAUGUGACUUGCGUGGUGGUUUAAUCAUCAGUGGCGAGCUAACGCGAUAGUCACGCUGGGACUACGCGCAAGUAACUCAGGAAUUGACGGUCGGCCAAGCACGACCGUGUGGGUUAAUUCGAUG